rnacentral:rRNA from 1 species
UCCGGUGGCUAUAGCUACGGGGCCAUACCUGUUCCCAUCCCGAACACAGUAGUCAAGCCCGUAUGCGCCGAUGAUACUUGGCGGGCGACCGCCCGGGAAAGCAGGACGCUGCCGGUC